GGUUACCUACGGGACGCAGCAGUGGGGAAUACUGCACAAUGGGGGAAACCCUGAUGCAGCGACGCCGCGUGAGUGAAGAAGUAAUUCGUUAUGUAAAGCUCUAUCAGCAGGGAAGAAAAUGACGGUACCUGAGUAAGAAGCCCCGGCUAACUACGUGCCAGCAGCCGCGGUAAUACGUAGGGGGCAAGCGUUAUCCGGAUUUACUGGGUGUAAAGGGAGCGUAGACGGCAGUGCAAGUCUGGAGUGAAAGGCGGGGGCUCAACCCCCGGACUGCUCUGGAAACUGUACGGCUGGAGUGCAGGGGG
rnacentral:rRNA from 1 species